rnacentral:lncRNA from 1 species
GUACAAGUGAACGAGAUAUAAAUAUAUAAAAUGUGUUUUCAUGUUUAUUGUUCCAUAUUCACAGUAGCAAAAUAGUGUGGACAGGUGUUGUUCAACUUCUCUUAUAUAUAUUAAAUCAGGAACACUAAAUUUAAUCCAUUUUUAAGCAUGACUUUCUUCUUGGAAAUGUCUUUGGUGAUCAUUACACUGACUGUUGUUGUUCUAGUGGCUGCAGGGAUCUAUCAUUUUAUAAAGAAGCAUAAAUUACUUGCAAAUUAUAAUAAUGUUAUCUAGUGUUAAAUAUAAUAUCUAGCACUUGGUUAUGUAAAAGUAUUGUAAAGAUAUAAUAAAUUAGAUUAAUAUCAUGUGAAAAAAUAUUACAAAUAUUUAA